GCCCUUGUGCCGCAAUCGGUAGCGCGUAAGACUUCUAAUCUUAAGGCUGUGGGUGACCCCCACCAGGGGCU
rnacentral:tRNA from 1 species